rnacentral:rRNA from 1 species
AGACCCGAAACCCGGUGAUCUAGCCAUGGGCAGGUUGAAGGUUGGGUAACACUAACUGGAGGACCGAACCGACUAAUGUUGAAAAAUUAGCGGAUGACCUGUGGCUGGGGGUGAAAGGCCAAUCAAACCGGGAGAUAGCUGGUUCUCCCCGAAAGCUAUUUAGGUAGCGCCUCGUGAAUUCAUCUCCGGGGGUAGAGCACUGUUUCGGCUAGGGGGCCAUCCCGGCUUACCAACCCGAUGCAAACUGCGAAUACCGGAGAAUGUUAUCACGGGAGACACACGGCGGGUGCUA